GCUCUGGGCUCAGCAGCGCGGGAGGCGACACUGGGUUCGCCUCUGCCUCCCCCGCGGCGGGCCCAGGCAUGGGGUUCCGCGGCCCGAGCCCCUCUGCAGGCGUGCAGGGCUCGGUACCGCGCACCACCGCCCUGCACUGACUGCCGCGCGGUACCCUGCGCUAGGAGGAGCAGAGGCCGCACACGGUCAGCGGAGCGGCUUCAGGAUGCUUAUCAAGGAGUACCACAUCUUGCUGCCCAUGAGCCUGGACGAGUACCAAGUGGCCCAGCUCUACAUGAUCCAGAAAAAGAGCCGGGAGGAAUCUAGUGGUGAGGGCAGUGGUGUGGAGAUCCUGGCCAACCGGCCCUACACAGAUGGACCCGGAGGCAAUGGGCAGUACACACACAAGGUGUACCACGUGGGCUCCCACAU
rnacentral:lncRNA from 1 species